AGGAUUUCCCUCAACAGAAUAAACAGAAUAGAGAGAUUUCCUCAUCUAAUUGGGGAAAUCUUAUCCUCUAUCAAGUUGGGGAAAUCUUAUCUUCUAUCAUGCCCCCGCAAGAUGGUGCUCCUAACAAGGAUACCAAUCUUGGAUCGAUGCAAAGAAUGGUUUACAAGCGAGAGGCUUCAUGAGUAAGAUAAGUGUAGAUCGCUGCUGCUGCUGUGAUUGCUGUUGCUGUGAUGGCACAGGUGUUCCCUUCAUUCUCCUUAAGUCUGCCGAAUGUUGACAAAUCAGCGAAGACUACCGCGGUGAGGAAGAUGAGGAUUGACCACGGAGCCUCUUAGGAUUGUAACGGCAUUGAUCGCUAGCCGAAGGGUGAAGCUUCACUUUUCUCAGCGACGUUGGUCGCUGGCCGAAGGCAAGAGCGAAGCUUCGCUUUUCUCAACGACGUUGGUCGUGAUUGCGAUUACGACGGCUGCGACGGUAGAGAAGAAAUCUACAGCAAUGUUGCAGUGAUGCUACUACAGCAAAGGAGGAAACUGCAACAGAGGAGGAAGCUGUAGCAGAAGAGGAAGCUGUAGAUAAACUUUAGCUUGAAUACAUUAACAUGUUCCUCUCCUAUUUAUAGGAUUAAGAGGGAGGAUUUUCCUCAACAGAAUAGAGGAUUUUCCUCAACAGAAUAGAUAAGAUUUCCUUAUAUAGUGGGGAAAUCUUAUCUUCUAUCAUGCCCCCGCAAGAUGGUGCUCCUGACAAGGAUACCAAUCUUGGAUCGGUAAGAAAGAGGUUCGUGAGUAAGAUAAGUGUAGAUCGCUGCUGCUGUUGCUGCGAUUGCUGUUGCUGUGAUGGCACAAGCGUUCCCUUCAUUCUCCUUAAGUCUGCCGAAUGUUGACAGAUCAGCGAAGACUACCGCGGUGAGGAAGAUGAGGACUGACCACGGAGCCUCUUAGGAAUGCAACGGCGUUGGUCGCUGGCCGAAGGGNNNNNNNNNNNNNNNNNNNNUGAUGCUACUACAGCAAAGGAGGAAACUGCAACAGAGGAGGAAGCUGUAGUAGAAGAGGAAACUGUAGCAGAAGAGAAAGGAAAAUAGCUACAACGACGAAGAAAGGUGGGGCAGUGCUGAUGAGCAGCACUAGAGAUGCCGUAGCGGAAGGGAACGGACGUUGGCGCAGAGUGGCAACACCAAUGAUGAAUUGGCAGCGAGAAGAGAGCUUGCUCUAGGCAAGCGGCUCUGAUACCAUGAUAGAAAUAAUAGAAGAUAAGAACAAUAAUUAAAGAAGCUUUAUUAUAGAAAUAAAA
rnacentral:lncRNA from 1 species